rnacentral:rRNA from 1 species
GACGAACGCUGGCGGCGUGCUUAACACAUGCAAGUCGAACGGUGAAGCGCCUUCCUUUUUGGUGGGUGUGGAUGAGUGGCGAACGGGUGAGUAACACGUGAGUAACCUGCCCCCUUCUUCUGGAUAACCGCAUGAAAGUGUGGCUAAUACGGGAUAUUCUGGGUCUGUCGCAUGAUGGGUCUGGGAAAGAUAUUGUUUCGGUGGGGGAUGGGCUCGCGGCCUAUCAGCUUGUUGGUGGGGUGAUGGCCUACCAAGGCGGUGACGGGUAGCCGGCCUGAGAGUGUGCGGGGGCCCAGUGGGUGGAGGACACGCCCCGGGCGCACGCGGGAGGCAGCGGUGGGGAAUAGGGGACAAUGGGCGGCAGGUUGGUGCAGCAUGGCGGCGAGAAAGAAGGAGGGCCUCGUGUGGUGAUCCGUUUACGCAAGUACAGUAGGGAGGGCUCGUUAGUGGGUGGACAGAAGGUAGAUGAAGAAGAACAGCAGGCUAACCAGGUG